GGUGGAUGAACAUUGAACUGGAUGGAACUCAUGAAAGUGAGGAAGUGAUCAUGAAUAUGUCCGCCAUGUUUACCUCGUGGGAUUUUGGUUUCAUAUAUUCUUAAGUUUGUUGGUUUCAUCGCGACUGAAAUGAAGUAAUCAUAGCAAUGACAAACGAAAUAGACUGUAGCGGUGCAUCUCAUCCAGUAUGGUUGGUGAAGGUACCAAAGUACUUGGCAAGUGUUUUAAAUCAUGCAGAUGAUACUGGUGCUGUUGGGACACUGCUCAUCAACAAGAAUCCCAAAGAAAAGGAGGUGAUUUUCCGCCUUUCUGAAUCCCUUGUACAAGCUGCAUCAGAGGGUUCUCCUGCACCCAGCGAAUAUAAGUUAACUUUAUUAAAAGAAGAACAGAGUCGAGCUGUAUUCUCGGAAGCAGUAAGAUCAGAGCUUGAUGAUAAUGUUGGUGAUAGAGAAGAUGAAGAAGGAACUGUUAUGAGAAAUGAAAUAUGCCUAGAAGGUGUUAUUACCCAACGAGGUGACUGCAGAGCAACACAAACACCACAGUACAUGAAUUUGAAAAAGAACAGUAUGCUGUCUGCUAUGGCACCUGUGCGUAAAGUUGAACAUCUACCAAACAUUGUGUCCAAUGUUUACAAACCUAUAUCACAGCACAAACAAGAUGAGGAACAUGAAAAGAAAAAGAAACAGGAUGGGAAAAGAGCAAGGGCAGAUAAAGAUUAUGUUCUUGAUUUAUUGUUCAAAGCAUUUGAACGACAUCAAUAUUACUUCCUGAAAGACCUGAUCAAAAUAACUCAACAACCAGUGGAACAUUUAAAAGAAAUCCUCAAGAGCAUCUGUAUAUACAACACGAAGAAUCCACACAAGAACAUGUGGGAACUAAAGCCAGAAUAUAGACAUUAUGAUACCAGAGAAACUCCGACAUGAUCAUGUUAAAGUAUGAAGUAUCUGUGGAAACCUGUAUCUAUAUACAUUGGGAGAUUUGGUCCUUGUACUGCUGCUUUCUAUUUCAAACAAAAUUUAUUAUCUUAGUCUGAAGAUAUAAACAUGUGUGCAACAGUAUAACACAAUGCUUCCAUCCAUAUGUAUGCCAACAUUGACUGUGAGCAAUUUUGUGUUGAGAAAAAUUGUUUCCGAAAUAUUGGGAAAUGCUUUUUUAUUACCUUUAUU